ACCGGGGGGCCCUGAGAGAGGCCGGCCGGCCGGCCGCCCCGCAAGAGGACGAAGGCCCCGUAGGCGCCUUCCGCUGGCUGGGGCAGGAGGCUGGUUGGGAAGAGGAGCUGCCUGCGAGGGCAGGAGGCAGCAUCACAGGGCUGGACACACAGGACAGCGCUGGAGGGGAAAGAGUAACCAGAACGGAGCCAGAAGAUGUGGGCUCAUGCCCUGUUUCUGCCACUUACUGGAUCAGGUCAGAGAGGGUUACUUCUCUGAGUCACCUUCAAUCCUUUCUGGAAUAAGAUGGGGAAACUGAGGCCCAGAGCCACUAAGCUCAUUUGUCCAAGGUCACCCAGCUGGCAGGUCCUGUAUGCUGUGGCCCAUCAGAGACUCUGCCAGCCAGGCCAAGGCCUCUUUUAGAAGACGGCUUUGCGGGGCCAUGUUCUCCUCUCCCAGAGAUUCUGCAAGGAGCUGGAGCGGUUAAACAGAGGAAAUGGGGCUGGGCUUGUUUUUAGUCUGAGACUUCUGGCAGCUCCGGAGCAGCAGAGAGCAGGAAAUGUGACUCCUGAAGGGGGAGGUGGACAGGCUGGAGGCUCCGAGAGGCAGAGCCGUCCUGACUGUGCGACCAGGAGCCCCUUAGGCUUGGGCUCCUCCAAGCUGCCAACACUUUCCAGGUGGAGUUGGGGGGACAAGGCUGGAAGGUACAGGUGCACAGGGCUGGGGAGGAUGCCCUUGACAGUUCCUAGGACAACAUGUGCCAGCACUGGGGAGCUGGGGACCCCUCAAAAUGCACCCAGAUAUGCACAGGAAGAGGAAUCUGGGUAAGAAAAUUAUUCUGGGCUUUGUUGAGGCCCCAGAGGGUGAGGUGCUCUACUUUCAGUGGCCUGGAUGAGCAAGUGGGAGCUGGGGAAAAGAAAUGUACCAGGGCACGGAACGCUCAACCCACAAUCUGGACAGCCUCUGCUCUCAAAACCAGCCCAGCCAGCCUCCUUGGCCUGACCUUCGAGCCUCCUUAUGCUCUGGUUCCUGCUGCCUUUCUUUUUUUGCCUCUUUGUCCAGACUUUCCCUGUAGAUAUUUUCGCUCAGCUCACACCAUGCCGGUGCCUGCCUCACACUAGGUGCUCAAUAAACAUUGCUUCUCCUUUUUUCACACUUGUUUUAACUUGCCACCCUCACCCCUGCCAAUCCCUUCCGCCUUUGGUUCUCUCCUUGGCCUUUCUGCCCGUCAGGCUUGACCAAUCAAAAUCACCAUCCUUCCAAACCCAGGCCCAAGAAGCAAAAGUGGGAAGGUGAAAAGAGUCCCAGACACAGAAUCCACAGGUUCGAACUCUAGCCCUUUGCUGUGUGACUCUGGGCACAUCACUUACCAUCUCUGGAUUGGACCAGAUGAUUUCUAAAAUCUCUCUGCUCUGAUUCAUUUGACUCUCCUUCCCAGCCUCCAGGAGUUUACAUAUUCAUUUGUAUGACAAAUAUUUUAUAAACACCUAAGUCUCUAAUGCCGCCCUAGAGCCAGCAUUCUCAUCCCACUGAUUUAUCUCUGACACUCACUUCUGUUCCCAGGAAUAUUCCUAGAUCGUGAGACCUUUUGUACACAUUGGUCUUGUGUCCUUACAAGAUUCUUGACCCCGGUGCUGCUCUUAGCUCCGUGCUGAGUGCACGGUGUGUGCUCAGUGACUUCCCAUGGAAGUGGCGAGGUGCUGAAUAUAGGUGCCCAACAAGCUAAGCAGAAGGAGGGAGGCUGGCUUCCCGUUUGCAGUAGCGGCUGUGGUGAGACAUGGGGAACUUUCUGAAUCUAAGUCCCUCCUCAGCAGCUAAGCCUGUCCUCCAGGCACCUGCUGAAGCCCUUGGGAGCCACUCAAAGCCCAACAGCACCUGCUGAUCGCUGGCCUCUGCCCAGGUGCGGGGCCUCUGCCCCCACAGAGGAGACAGAUGUACCUGAGUGGGCCUGCAGGUGCCACUGGCAAGUGACAGAUGGAAAUUUGAUUAGACUCCUUCUGGGCAGCCUCAUUAAAGUCAUGUGCAGGAAGAAAUCGGGAGGGGGGUCUGGGAUCCUCCCCCACUGGGGCAAGAGAGCUGUGGGCAUAGCACUGGCAGCUCAAGGGCAGUCCCUCAAUCCACGAUCUCUCUUGGAAGCUGUCCCUGGGCACCUCCCAGGUCCCCAGGCUGGAGGUGAGCAGAGCCUAUGUGGUUCUUCCAUUACUCUGGGUCAGCGGGAUCUGUCCAAAGGAACUCCCUCCCACCCCUGUUGUAGCCAAGACCCCGGGACAGGAUCAGCAGACCUCCUGCCCUUCAAGCCUCCUACCCCCAUCUAUCAAGUCAUAAGCCCCAGUUGCAGAAGCACCUUUCAGCCUUCUUGCCUCCUGUCCUACUACCCCCCUAGAGAUAGGUGCGUUUAGAGCCAAAAGAAAAGAUCCUUAAAGAUGAAAGUCCAGGCCCUUGGAAGCCUGAGUAAAAAGGGCUUUGGAGUGAACUGCCCAGUAGCCCUCAAAUCCCCGCCUACUCUGUGAACACUGCUUAGUCUUCCUUCUGCAAACAUCUGUAGGCUGAGGACAGGAUCACGCACAGUCCAGCUCAGCAGGAAGCCAAAUCUCAUCCUAAUGCCUUCCCUACCUACUUUGUAUAUACUUGAAGAGAAGUCUUCCCCAGCCCGUGCCAACCCUUGUCCUUGGGACUGGACCCUUGAGGGGCCUCUCUGAAUGUUCUGCUCUGAAAUUGUACCAAUCAGCAGCAAAAACGAGACCCUAAGCCAGGCGUCCUGGUGCCUGGCCCUGGGCUACAUUUUCAGCAACACACCAGAGAAGCACCUGCUCCAGUGCCUCUGCUCAAACUGGUCCUCCCAGCUUCCUUCUGAAAUGCCCAAAUGGCUUGUGCUCCCCUUGGUGCAGGGGUGAGGGUAUGAGCUGCUGGGGGGAUAUGUCCCAAACCCUGUGUGCCAAAAUAGGGUUGGAGAAGACCCUGGGAUCCCAAUCCCUGCACUGCUCUGGGCUCCACCUUUGAGCACUGCCUUCCAUGGCUGUUGACUCCCUAGUCAACAAGAACCUCAGGUUCCUGAGGGGAGGAAGGAUCUCCAGGCUAGGCCUGGUCCCUGCACUUCCCAAAGGAAGGAAAAUAGAUAGACCCCCCCAGCUUCCAGCUUCC